rnacentral:rRNA from 1 species
AGUGAACGCUGGCGGUAGGCCUAACACAUGCAAGUCGAACGGCAGCACAGGAGAGCUUGCUCUCUGGGUGGCGAGUGGCGGACGGGUGAGGAAUACAUCGGAAUCUACUCUGUCGUGGGGGAUAACGUAGGGAAACUUACGCUAAUACCGCAUACGACCUACGGGUGAAAGCAGGGGACCUUCGGGCCUUGCGCGAUUGAAUGAGCCGAUGUCGGAUUAGCUAGUUGGCGGGGUAAAGGCCCACCAAGGGAACGAUCCGUAACUGGUCUGAGAGGAUGAUCAGCCACACUGGAACUGAGACACGGUCCAGACUCCUACGGGAGGCAGCAGUGGGGAAUAUUGGACAAUGGGCGCAAGCCUGAUCCAGCCAUACCGCGUGGGUGAAGAAGGCCUUCGGGUUGUAAAGCCCUUUUGUUGGGAAAGAAAUCCAGCUGGCUAAUACCCGGUUGGGAUGACGGUACCCGAAGAAUAAGCACCGGCUAACUUCGUGCCAGCCGCCGCCGUAA